GCGGACAGAAGGGAGCUUGCUCCCGGAUGUUAGCGGCGGACGGGUGAGUAACACGUGGGUAACCUGCCUGUAAGAGUGGGAUAACUCCGGGAAACCGGAGCUAAUACCGGAUAGUUCCUUGAACCGCAUGGUUCAAGGAUGAAAGACGGUUUCGGCUGUCACUUACAGAUGGACCCGCGGCGCAUUAGCUAGUUGGUGAGGUAAUGGCUCACCAAGGCGACGAUGCGUAGCCGACCUGAGAGGGUGAUCGGCCACACUGGGACUGAGACACGGCCCAGACUCCUACGGGAGGCAGCAGUAGGGAAUCUUCCGCAAUGGACGAAAGUCUGACGGAGCAACGCCGCGUGAGUGAUGAAGGUUUUCGGAUCGUAAAGCUCUGUUGUUAGGGAAGAACAAGUGCGAGAGUAACUGCUCGCACCUUGACGGUACCUAACCAGAAAGCCACGGCUAACUACGUGCCAGCAGCCGCGGUAAUACGUAGGUGGCAAGCGUUGUCCGGAAUUAUUGGGCGUAAAGGGCUCGCAGGCGGUUUCUUAAGUCUGAUGUGAAAGCCCCCGGCUCAACCGGGGAGGGUCAUUGGAAACUGGGAAACUUGAGUGCAGAAGAGGAGAGUGGAAUUCCACGUGUAGCGGUGAAAUGCGUAGAGAUGUGGAGGAACACCAGUGGGCGAAGGCCACUCUCUGGUCUGUAACUGACGCUGAGGAGCGAAAGCGUGGGGAAGCGAACAGGCAUUAUAUACCCCUGGGUAGUUCCACGCCCCUAUACCGAUGAAGUGCUAACGUGUUUAAGGGGGGUUUCUCCCGCCCUUAUUGCUUGCGGCCUAACAGCAUUUAAUACAUUUCCGCCCUGGGGGCAGUU
rnacentral:rRNA from 1 species